UGUCCAUGAUUAGGGCACAUCUUGAUCAAACCUUGAUACCUUUGCCAUGCAUCAUAUAGGCUUUCACCAUCAAACUGGAUAAAUCUAUUAAUCUUGUCGCGGUA